CACCCACCAAUUAUAUAGCGCUUCACAAAGAAGAGGUAAUGUAUCCCAUGACCUGACCUUUUGUCUUUUACAGAAAUUGCAGAAAGAAUAAGACUGGUUGCCAUCCUUUGGAGAUUCUCAGACCUUUUCCUCCUCUUGUUUCAGUUGAAAAAAUACAAGUAGAAAUUGUUCUGUUCAAACUUAAGAGACUUGCAUAAUAAAAUAAACCCAAAAAAAAAGGGGAAAUGCUGGAAUUCUUUUGCUAUUUAAAUCUUGAAAAUACGAUGCGCUAACAAUUUAAUGAUUUUCUUUAGGAGGAUCAAAGUGUAAAUUUCUGAGAGAAGCACUGCUGGAACUUAUUUUAAUCUUGACUAAAAGAGGAAGGCGAACCAAGAUAUUAUUUCAUCGGAAAGCAUGACAAACUUAUUAGUCAUUAACUUCUUUUGUAAAUAGUGCAUAUUUUCUGGUGUUCUCGAUUCAGGGCACUAGCUGAGGAUAGUCGACAUCUUUUAGGUUUGAACUAUGACUAGAAAUGAUCACCUUCACAAGAUGGUUCAAAUGGCACACAACGAGGAUAAAAUGAGAGGACACUUGAGAUGGUUUAGUCAUGUCUUGUAUUGGCCUCUGGAUGCGAGGUAUAAACCAUGGGAUGAAGGUGUUAAAAGAGGACGAGGUAGACCUAGAAUCACACGGAAGGAAGUUGUCCCAAAGGACCUACAAUAUUUGGGGAUUCAUGCAGACUUGGUAAAAGAUAGGACAGAAUGAAAGAAUAGUUGUUAUAUAUUAGUUGAGAAAUGAUUUACAUGUUUGCACUUCUAUUGUAGGUCGUAUGCUUUCUAGGAGUGUAUUAACAUUUUAGAAAUUUAUACCUUUAGAAAACAUACAGGACCUCAAUUUUUUUCGAAUUAAAACACAGUAGCAGUUGUUAUGCCCCUAGGCUCCAGUAAAGGAUUUUUGUGUAACGGAAGAGAUUUCUUAUUCUCUAGUCUAAGCUCUCCAUCUCUUUCUUUCUGGGCAUUAUGAACAUAGGCAUUACUUAUUUUGUUGUUAACUAUGCAUAGUCCACUAGGCCCUCAUAUUUUGGGUCCGGAUGGUGCAUCGUCUCUUUUGUAAUCUCAUUGCAUUUUUCUUUUGGACUCAAUUAUCAUCUAAUUCCUGCUUUUAUUCCUAUGAAAAUGCAAUAGGAUCAAAGUCUCCAAAUACCUGAUAGAAUAUACUCUUUCUUUUGCUUAUACAUUCAUGAGUAGCUUGCACAGUUUAACCCUUUCUUAUGUUUUCAUUUUACAUUUAACUACUUUCUUAUUGGUUUCUGGAAUUCUUAUGAAGAGGUCCCUGAAUGUUUUGAGCAUUCCUCUUAAUUCUUAUCUCAUUUGAAUGGUUAAAAAGAAGAUAAACUUGCUCAGUUACUAACAACUCCUUCAAAAACUUUGAAAUCAUGAAGUGUUCUGCUGCGUAUAACUGAAAGCAGUGAAGUGUAUCCAUUCUACAGCUAUUGCUGAAGAAAGUGAUCAUCCCAUUAUGAUUUGACUCUUUCUUUCCUCUGUUCUUUUUCUCUUAUUAUCGGCUCUUACUCAUUCCAUGGCCAUGUACCCAUGAAUUUCCAUGUCUUUACGCAUUGUUCGUCCAUUUCAUUUUGCACCUUAAAGCAAUAUCGUUUACUUAUCCAGGGAAGAAAAAGAGAGAAAAAGUGAAUAUUUAUAUCAUAAUCUUAUUUCAUCACUGGAUAGACCAUAGAUGAUAGGUACAUAGAAGUAUUAGCAUUUAUUCAUGUAGCACACUUCACUCUCUCACAGACACACACAUAGCACACCUCUCUCUCCCAUAAUCAAAGUACAUAGUUAUUGAACAACAGAAGUUCAUUAGUGGUACAACUUCUGUCUCUUACUUGAUUAUUGCAACUUAUAUCUUCAGCAGCUCUCCCUCUGCAAAAGCAAAAUUACAAUUUAGGCUUCAAGGUAAGUUGGGUAACUAGUAAAGUUGCUAUCUUUAUGAAACUAAGCAUUGUGAAGGGGUUACAUUAACUGAGUCUAGAUCUGUUCCUUUUCACAGUUUGUGAUCAAUUUUGUGAAAUAUUUAACAUUUAAAUCUAAGUUUAUCUUCUCUAUUGUCAGUGUCCGUCAGACUAUGCAGAAGCAAAAAUAGACAAUAGGUUAUAUUAGGUUAUACCUUGUUCCUUCCACAGUUCUCGUUGUCACUCUCAUCGUUGUUGCUGCUGUCACUGCCAUCUCUGCAGUGUCCAUCAAUUUGAGGGGGAUGUUAGCUGAUCACCUAUCUUAUGCAUGAAACUCCCUUCCUUCUUUGAGCCAUGGCACGCAGUCUGCUAGCCAUGGUUAGCAUGACCUCCAUGCAUAACAGUGGAGCCAUGGCCUGCUGAAUAUUGAGUUUUGCCACCAUGGCAUGCAGUCUGCUGGCCAUGGUUAGCAUGACCUCCAUGCAUAGCAGUGGAGCCAUGGCCUGCUGAAUAGAGUUUUUGCGCUAUGGCAUGCAGUCUGCUGCCCAUGGUUAGCAUGACCUCCAUACAUAACAGUGGUGCCAUUGUCAAUUUUCUGCUGAAUGCCUCUCAAUAUUGAGAGUCUUUCCAUUAAAUAAAAAGUAUCAAAGAUUACAUCCCUAAAGAUCCGUCUUCCUAUCCCUAAAGACCAGUUUUUCUAUCCCUCUAAAUCCGCUAUUUUAUCUCACCAAAUCUGCUCUACUAUAGCCACUAUUAUUCUCUUUAAUUACUAAAUCAAAUCUAUGUAAUUACACUAAUAUACAACAAUAUAUAGAUAAAUUAAUAUAUACAAUAUUUACAUCAUGCUAACAUCCCCCCUCAAAUUGAUGCUGGUAGAUCAUGAAGCAUCAAUUUGCCCACUAGAAACUGAUGUCAUCGUCGUGCCAUUGAUUUUGUAAAUGCAUCAGCUAAUUGAAGAUCACUGGACACGUGCGGAAGAGUAAUGACACCUUUAUCUACAACUUCUUGUAUAUAAUGACAGUCUACUUCGAUAUGUUUGGUCCGCUCAUGAUAAACCGGAUUAGUAGCAAUUUGAAUAGCACUUGUAUUGUCAGCAUGGAGAGGAGUAGGAUUAGAUUGAGGAAAUCCAAUCUCAGAAAGUAAUCCACGGAGCCACACAAUCUCGGAGCAAGCAGUAGACAUUGCUCAAUAUUCAGUCUCUGUUGAAAAUUUUGACACGGUCUUGCUUCUUACUCGUCCAAGAUAUCAAAGACUCUCCAAGAAACAUGCACCAAGCUGUAAUCGAAGUCAGAACAUCCUGUCCAAUCAGAAUCACUAAAAGCAUUAAUACGAAUAGGCGAACCACUAGGAAAGAAUAAUCCACGAGUAGAUAUUCCUAGGAGAUAUCGAAUGAUGUGACGGACAACCAUCAAAUGAAGAUGACGGGGAGCUUGCAUGAACUGACUAAUUUGUUGAACUGCAAAAGAGAUAUCAGGCCUGGUAAUAGUAAGGUAAUUUAAGCUCCCAACUAAUUGCCGAAAUAUAGUUGGAUGAGGAAGAAGAUCUCUUUCCUCCCAGCGAUACUUUACAUUCAAUUCUAAUGGAGUAUCUACAUUCAAUUCUAAUGGAGUAUCUACAGAGGAGGAAUCCUGAAGACCUGCCAAAGAAAUCAAAUCUUGGGUAUAUUUGUGUUGAUUUAGAAACACACCAGAUGAAUCACGAUGAACUUCCAAACCCAAGAAAUAUGUAAGAGUAUCAAGAUGUUUCAUAUGAAAAGAAUCCUUAAGUUGCUGUUGCAGGCUAGUGAUUAGUGAAGAAUCAGUUCCUGUAAUAAUAAUGUCAUCUACAUAUACCAAAAAAAGAACACAACUUGUGGAUGUUUUCCGAAGAAACAAAGAUGAGUCAUAUUUGCUAUGCUCAAAAGAGAAUUGUAGCAAAGUAGACCGAAAUUUAUCAAAUCAAGCUCUGGGAGCUUGUUUUAAUCCAUACAAAAACCGCUUCAACUUGCAUACAUCUGAUGUAGGCAAUGAGAACAAACUUGGUGGAGGUUUCAUAUAAAUAUCCUCUUUGAGAUCACCAUGAAGAAAGACAUUUUUGACAUCCAUUUGAUGAAGAGUCCAGUUUUGUGAAGCCCCAAUGGCAAUAAUAGUUCGCACCAUCAUCAUUUUUGCUAUCGGUGCAAAAGUCUUUUCAUAGUUCACACCAUACUCUUGCUUGUUACCAAGAACAACCAACCGAGCUUUGUACCGAUCAAGAGUUCCAUUAGAGUGAAGUUUAAUUGAAUAAACCUAUUUACAUCCAAUUGGAUGGACAUUUGAAUGGCAUGAAACAGUAUCCCAUGUGUCAUUUUCUUUAUGAGCCAAAAGUUCUUCCUCCAUUGUCUUAUGCCAACGUUCAUGCUUGGAAGCUUGUGAGUAACAAGUUGGAAUAGAAAUAGUGGAUAAAGUAGAUGAAAAGCCAUACCAAUUAGGAGUACGAGAUACUCUCGUAGAUCGCCGAGUGGGCUCAAGAGGAGCAGGCCUUGAAGAAUUCUCAGAUUCUAGUUGUGGAGCAGUUUCAGGUGGCGGAUCAAUAUCAGGAGGGGGUAAAGUUGGCCGCCGACGUUCGUACCCAAAUUCAGGUUUGAACCUCUUAGAAGAAGAUGACAAAUCCUCAAAAGUAGGAAGAAGAAGAGAAGCAGGAGAUGACUCAACAUGAGUAGGAAAGAAAUGCUGAUUCUCAAAGAAAACAACAUUUCUAGAAACAUGAAAUUUAUUAGAACAUGGAUCAUAACAGAGAAAACCUUUCUGUGAAGUACUAUAACCCAUAAAAACACAUUUAGUAGACUGAACAGAAAGUUUAUUACGCUGAGAAGGAGGAAGAUGCACAAAACAAAUACAANNNNNNNNNNNNNNNNNNNNNNNNNNNNNNNNNNNNNNNNNNNNNNNNNNNNNNNNNNNNNNNNNNNNNNNNNNNNNNNNNNNNNNNNNNNNNNNNNNNNNNNNNNNNNNNNNNNNNNNNNNNNNNNNNACUCAAUCAAUAAAGUACGAGUGACAUCUAAAAGAUGACAAUUUUUACGUUCAGCAACCCUAUUUUGUUUUGGUGUAUAUGGAUAGGAGCGUUGUGAGACAAUUCCUUUUUCAAGCAAAAAAUUUUUGAACUCAUAAGACAUAUAUUCUCCACUAGAAUCAGAUCUUAAUAAUUUGAUGCAAGUAGAAAAUUGAGUCUCAAUAUAGUCCAAAAAUAUCUUGAAUAUGGAAAAUACCUCAGAUUUGAAACGAAGAAAAUAUACCCACGUAAAUCGACUAUAAUCAUCUAUAAAUGUCACAAAGUACUUAAAAUGAGCAUGAGAAACAAUUGGUGAAAUACCCCAAACAUCACUAUGAAUGACAUCAAAACACUUUGUAGCACGACUACCAAAAUUAGGAAAAGGAAGAAUUUUACUCUUGCCUUAUUUACAAGUAGAAAAGUCAAAGUAAGCAGUGGAAAAUUGAUUUUUGUUCCCCAAUAAACCCGAAUUCGAUAAAUGAGAUAACACAAUAGAAUUUGGAUGUCCUAAGCGCUUAUGUCAUACCUCAGUCUUACUAGGUGUAGAAGUACAAGCAAAUGAUAGAACACGAGGAAUGAAAAAGUGUAUAGGAAACAGUCGUCCAACUUUAGGCCCCUUUGCAAUUAUCGUCCCCGACACUUGAUCCUGCACAAGACAACCAUUACUAGAAAAAUUCACAUCACAAUUGUUAUCUACCAAUUGUCCAACUGAAAUAAGACUAGUGGAGAGAUUUGGUGACACAAAAACAUUGUUGAAAGUUUUAGUAAUAUCUCAAACCUUGGUAAUGGGUAAAUUACUACCAUUGGCAACUUGAAUUUGUGAUGGAUAAUGACUUAUGAACAUUUUUUAGCAUAUUGGAUGAGUUGGUCAUAUGAUUGGAAGCUUCAGAAUCAAUAAGCCAAAAAUUAAAUGCAAGAUCAUUACCUUGUAGCCCUAAAGCUGAAAAAGCUGACAUGAUCAUUUGUCUUACCAUUUUAGGAGUAAGAAUUUGUCCCGAAGAUGAGUUCUUAGUAGUGAAACGAUUUGUCCCAGCUUGAAAAGCAUUAACCUUACGGUUUUGAGGGCGUGUGAGACACUCUUUGAUGUGUCCUUAUUGUUUGCAAUAAUUAUAAAACUUCCUGCCACAAUUGCUAGCAAUAUGAUCAUAUCCCUUGCAACUGUAGCAUUGAGUUCUAGUCAUAUCCUUACCAUUUCCUUUACCUUGGGCAGCAAAUGCAACAACAAUAUCAUCAACCUGCUUGAAAGCAUUUUGUGUGACAAAACGCUGCUCUUCACGGAGUAAUUCCCUAAAACAAACAUCCAAGGAGGGAGACGGGUCAUGAUUUAUCAAGUGGGAGCGAACAUUCUCAAAAUCAAAACGUAACUUCAUCAAAAAUUGAUCUAGCUUGCUUUGCUCAUGGACUUGUUGAAUUACAGAGAGAGAUUCCGCAGGUAUUUUGGCAUAAACAAUAUUUGUAAAUUCAGCACAUAAGUUCUAAAAUCCAGAAAAAUAAUCCUAAACAGAAAGACCUCCUUGAGAGUAAUUAGUAAUUUCAUACUCUAAGUGAAAGCAUCGGGCACUAUUAUUUUGGUUGUAAGCCGUUUGUAAAUAACCCCACAUGGCUUUAGCUGUCUUAUAAGGCCUGAGAUUAAGAACAAUAAGAGAGUCAAUUGACCCUAAAAGCCAUGUCAUCAUCCGAGCAUCUUUAAUCUUUCAUUCACCUAACUUUGUAGGAUCAGUAGGAGCAGGAUCGGCUCCAUCUAUAUGGCCCCAUAGUUCUUUUCCAGUGACAAAUAACUGAAACUGAAACUCAUUUAGUACAUUGAAUCUAGUCUACCAACGUAAAGACAAUUGUUGUCCUUCAUAUCUCCAAAAACCUGUAUGAGGUUUUGAAAUACGUUAACAAUGUAGAAAUUUUUUAAUACUGUCAGUGUAUAUAAGACUAUAAGUUUAAUCCGUAAAGAUAAUAAAUUGAAG
rnacentral:lncRNA from 1 species